rnacentral:lncRNA from 13 species
AUUGGCGGAUACGCUUUACGAACAGCAAAUAAGCCAAUCAGAGCCGAGUACUGUGAGCGAUUGAUUUUUCUGCUGUUGGCUAAUCGUCCUGAAUGCUAAGGAAACGAAAACUAGCACGUGGGUUAGAUAAUUCAAUAGGCGAGCUCCAAAAAAUAAUUUAUUUCAGUACUUUACUGUUAUCUUUGGUGAUUAAAAACUCAUAUUAUUGGGUAAAAAAUAGAAUGUACCAUUCAGCUUGCUAUUAAGCAGGAAGACAAGCUUUCUAAUGACGGACAAGGAAGAUGAUGACUCCCAGCACAGAGCGAAUGAGGGUGACUCCGUUGUACUGAAACGGGGAGACAUCUAACGUUACAAAGCUGCGGAUUCAAAAGACAAAGUUAGUCGUUACACAACUGUGCUCAUGCACAAUCACAUUAUCUAUUGGUGUGCAUUAGCUAACAAUGCUUGACAGUCAGGUCAAAUAUUUGCCUGUACUAUCAACAUGCAAGCUAUGCAUCAGUGCCCGACCUCACUAAUGCUCUUGUGGCUGAAUGGAAGCAAGUCCCAGCAUCACUGUACCAACAUCUAGUGGGAAGCCUUCCCAGAAGAGUGGAGGCUGUUAUAGCAGCAACAGGCGGACCAACUCCAUAUUAAUGACCAUGAUUUUGGAAUGAGAUGUUUGACAAGCAGGUGUCCACAUACACUACAUAACCACAAGCUAUGGGUCAGUGAUGCAGAUGUACCCAGGAGGAGGCCCUGAGAAGGCGGGGGUAGAGAGCUUUGGCUUCCACGAUAUGCUCCAUGAGCUUCCCAUCUGUCAUGUCAACGCACUGCUGGCAGGGACACUGGACACGGAGGCUAAAGACAUAGACAUGCUGGACAGGCCAAUGGAGACAAGUCCAACCUGACCCAGAGAAAGCAGAAGGCAAUGGGGGCAGCCCAGACACAGAGGACCAGAGCAUGGAGACUAGUACCAGUACAGACCCUGCCGAGGACAAGGAGAGGGAGAAACGGAGAGAGAUCAACACAUAGUGAAGCAGCCCAGGAGAAGAUGGAGAAGAGGAAGAAACUGCUGCUGCAGGCGUGCCGGAGGGUAGGAACGCUGUCGGGUGAGUGUUAUUCUGUCUCGCUCUCACCUCCCCCAUAAGGUCUCUGUUUUAAUGCCACUAAGUUACAGAGUGAACUCUAAAGCAUGAAUGUGCUGUCAGUAGACAUGUAUAAGCACUAAUAAACAGUAUAACAGCUGCUUGGCACUAAGAUUACAUACCCCUGACACACCAGGUUUGCUCUGUAGGUGUCGUCUUGCACUGUCUGAAAUCAGUCAAACAUGUCAAUGUUUGUCAACAAAACAGGAGUGCUUAGCAGUAAUCUUGAUCCGAAGUGAGAUGUCUAGUUAAAGAUGAUUGAUGUUGGGGCUACAGCAGAUGUCAUCUGAUCCUGUGUUUAUUGAUAGGUUUGUCGAGGGUUGGGGAAACUCGUGUUUCCAUGUAGUCUACAACCCUAGUAUGUCUCUACACAUGAGUUCCAAUACUUUCAACA